CGCGUAGGCGGGCGGCCAAGUCAGGGGUGAAAGCCUCCAGCUCAACUGGAGAAGUGCCUUUGAUACUGGCCAUCUUGAGGGAGGUAGGGGCGUGCGGAACUUCCGGUGGAGCGGUGAAAUGCGUAGAUAUCGGAAGGAACACCGGUGGCGAAAGCGGCGCGCUGGACCUCUUCUGACGCUGAGGCGCGAAGGCCAGGGGAGCAAACG
rnacentral:rRNA from 1 species